UACGUAGGGAGCAAGCGUUGUCCGGAAUCAUUGGGCGUAAAGAGCGCGUAGGUGGCUGUAUAAGUCCGUUGUGAAAGUCAAAGGCUCAACCUUUGAAAGCCGAUGGAUACUGUAGAGCUAGAGUACGGAAGAGGCGAGUGGAAUUCCUGGUGUAGCGGUGGAAUGCGCAGAUAUCAGGAGGAACACCAAUAGCGAAGGCAGCUCGCUGGGACGUUACUGACACUGAGGCGCGAAAGCUAGGGGAGCAAACGGG
rnacentral:rRNA from 1 species